rnacentral:misc_RNA from 1 species
GCGCGGAGCAGAGGAAACCUUGGAGGAGUGAGCACUCAAAGGUGGGGCAUCGUAGGUGGGUCUGAGAACAGUGAAGUUCUAUGUGGCCCUCGGGACUGAGAUUAUGACUAAAUAGAAAAUCGAAGGAGAUGAUUUAAACUUUGUGACGGUGACUUCGAAGGUGUUGUAGUUUUAUGUGGGUUUUAUGAGUUGUGACAAAAUGGGUAUGGUGAUGCACUAUUUGAGAAGUGCUGGGCUUCGGUCAGUUUGGAUAGGAAGGAUGAAGGGCGUGGAGCUAGUGAUGUACGAGAGUUGGGUUUUCGGGGCAUGAAAGGUGGAGAUGGUGGCAAGCGUUAAGGGUAAGCUGGAUUCGGAUGGAGCUGCUGGUGUUCAGAGAGACAUUUAAGCGAGUUGUGU